GGUUGGAGAGGAGCGAUAACAUCNNUCGNGUGGAUGAAGGGAGCGUUGCUCCUGCGAUUCAGCCGUCGCGUAGUGGUGAGCUAGUGCUCAUCUAAUCUGCCUGGUAGUGGGGGAUAACGUCCGUUAAACGGGCGCUAAUACUGCAUACGUCCUGAGGGAGAAAGUGGGGUAUCUUCGCACCUCGCGCUAUUCGAUGAGCUUACGUCGGAUUACCCCGCUGGAGCGGGGAAGGAGCUCCCUUGCUACGAUCCAUUUCUGUGCUGAAAGGAUGAUCCCUCCCUCUGGUCCUGAGCCAGGAUCAAAAUUAAUACGGGNGGNNGNNGUGGGGGGUNUUGGACNAUGGGGGANAGCCUGGUCCAGCCNUGCCGCGUGUGUGAAGAAGGUCUUCGGAUUGUAAAGCACUUUAAGUUGGGAGGAAGGGCAGUAAGUUAAUACCUUGCUGUUUUGACGUUACCCACAGAAUAAGCACCGGCUAACUUCGUGCCAGCCGCCGCGGUAAUACGAAGGGUGCAAGCGUUUAUCGGAAUUACUGGGGAAAAAGGCGCGCUAGGUGGGUCAGCAAGUUGGAUGUAAAAUCCCCGGGCUCCACUGGGGAACUGC
rnacentral:rRNA from 1 species